GGCGGGUUGGUGGAGUGGUCUAACACGUGCGACUCAAGUUCUCAAACUUUGUCCUUAGACAGGAUUUCGCAUCUCGUAAAGAGGCGUGGGUUCGAAUCCCACACCCGUCA